rnacentral:tRNA from 1 species
CCUGGUAGCUUGGACUGUAAAGCGUCUGCCUACAAUGCAGGAGACCCAGGUUCGAUCCCUGGGUCAGGA